UCCACUGUGAUGAAAGGGUUCCUUGGU
rnacentral:piRNA from 1 species